UGGCUGCAGUCGAGGAUCUUCGGCAAUGGGGGAAACCCUGACCGAGCGACGCCGCGUGCGGGAUGAAGGCCCUCGGGUUGUAAACCGCUGUCGUAGAGGAGGAAAUGCAGGGGGGUUCUCCCCUUUGCUUGACCUAUUCUAGGAGGAAGUACGGGCUAAGUUCGUGCCAGCAGCCGCGGUAAGACGAACCGUACAAACGUUACUCGGAAUUACUGGGCUUAAAGGGUGCGUAGGCUGCGCGGAAAGUUGGGUGUGAAAGCCCUCGGCUCAACCGAGGAAUUGCACUCAAAACUGCCGUGCUCGAGGGAGACAGAGGUAAGCGGAACUCAAGGUGGAGCGGUGAAAUGCGUUGAUAUCUUGAGGAACACCGGUGGCGAAGGCGGCUUACUGGGUCUCUUCUGACGCUGAGGCACGGAAGCUAAGGUAGCAAACGGGAUUAGAUACCCCGGUAGUCUUAGCUGUAAACGAUGAGCACUUGUUUGAAGGGUCCUCCAUAGCCUUUCAGACGUAGCGAAAGUGUUAAGUGCUCCGCCUGGGGAGUAUGGUCGCAAGGCUGAAACUCAAAGAAAUUGACGGGGGCUCACACAA
rnacentral:rRNA from 1 species